AUGCAUCGUACCAGGGAUCCCGAUCCCUUUUCCUCCUCCCGUCAAUCCCUCCAUCGCAGACGCCGUCGCCCUGGAGCUCCACCGCCGCCCGUCGCCAUCUACUCCUCUGGCCGCCGCGUCCUCCCUCUCCUCCUUCUCCAGCAAGCCAGCGCCCGCCUCCUACUCGCCUCGCCAUGGCGCGCCCCCGAUCAAGCGCCACUCCACAUCCGGAGUGCCCCUGCUCCCUUCUCCUCCUCGCGGCUGCUCGGCGCCUCAUCAGCGAGCUCCUCCGUCUCCUCCUUCAUACGCCUCUGUGCCCGCGAGCGCUGGGAUGUCAGCCUCCUCUCGCAUCCGAGGGGAUCCCCGAGCACCUCGCCGCUCUCUGCUGCACGCCGUCGCCAAGACCUUGAGCCGCAGCGCCCAGAGAUGGCCGCAUCUGCUCUGACCGGUCGUCAUGCGCCUCCACCCAUUUCCCAUGUCCCCGAUGCUGCUUGCAGCUGUGCCAAGCCGCCGCUGUUGCCUCUGCUCUGCCCGUUGUCCUGGUCGAAGGCGCAAAGUUCAUCUUGA
rnacentral:rRNA from 1 species